rnacentral:rRNA from 1 species
GAGUUUGAUCUUGGCUCAGGAUGAACGCUGGCGGCGUGCCUAAUACAUGCAAGUCGAACGAACAGAUAAGGAGCUUGCUCCUUUGACGUUAGCGGCGGACGGGUGAGUAACACGUGGGUAACCUACCUAUAAGACUGGAAUAACUCCGGGAAACCGGGGCUAAUGCCGGAUAACAUGUUGAACCGCAUGGUUCUACAGUGAAAGACGGUCUUGCUGUCACUUAUAGAUGGACCCGCGCCGUAUUAGCUAGUUGGUGGGUAACGGCCUACCAAGGCGACGAUACGUAGCCGACCUGAGAGGGUGAUCGGCCACACUGGAACUGAGACACGGUCCAGACUCCUACGGGAGGCAGCAGUAGGGAAUCUUCCGCAAUGGGCGAAAGCCUGACGGAGCAACGCCGCGUGAGUGAUGAAGGUCUUCGGAUCGUAAAGCUCUGUUGUUAGGGAAGAACAAAUGUGUAAGUAACUGUGCAUAUCUUGACGGUACCUAACCAGAAAGCCACGGCUAACUACGUGCCAGCAGCCGCAACG